rnacentral:rRNA from 1 species
GAUGAACGCUGGCGGCGUGCCUAAUACAUGCAAGUCGAGCGAACAGACGAGGAGCUUGCUCCUCUGACGUUAGCGGCGGACGGGUGAGUAACACGUGGAUAACCUACCUAUAAGACUGGGAUAACUUCGGGAAACCGGAGCUAAUACCGGAUAAUAUAUUGAACCGCAUGGUUCAAUAGUGAAAGACGGUUUUGCUGUCACUUAUAGAUGGAUCCGCGCCGCAUUAGCUAGUUGGUAAGGUGACGGCUUACCAAGGCAACGAUGCGUAGCCGACCUGAGAGGGUGAUCGGCCACACUGGAACUGAGACACGGUCCAGACUCCUACGGGAGGCAGCAGUAGGGAAUCGUCCGCAAUGGGCGAAAGCCUGACGGAGCAACGCCGCGUGAGUGAUGAAGGUCUUCGGAUCGUAAAACUCUGUUAUUAGGGAAGAACAAAUGUGUAAGUAACUAUGCACGUCUUGACGGUACCUAAUCAGAAAGCCACGGCUAACUACGUG